rnacentral:miRNA from 1 species
UCUCACGGCGAGCCUGAUGCC